rnacentral:rRNA from 1 species
GCUGGUUUUCCAGGCAAAUCCGGAAAAUCAAGGCUGAGGCGUGAUGACGAGGCACUACGGUGCUGAAGCAACAAAUGCCCUGCUUCCAGGAAAAGCCUCUAAGCAUCAGGUAACAUCAAAUCGUACCCCAAACCGACACAGGUGGUCAGGUAGAGAAUACCAAGGCGCUUGAGAGAACUCGGGUGAAGGAACUAGGCAAAAUGGUGCCGUAACUUCGGGAGAAGG